rnacentral:lncRNA from 1 species
GAAUAAUUUCUUUCUCGCUGAUCGCCUAACUUCUACUGACGAAGCUUGGAAGUUGCAGAAGGUUGGAGUGCAAUGGCGCGAUCUCGGCUGACUGCAACCUCCACCUCCUGGAUUCAAGCUAUUCUCCUGCCUCAGCCUGCCGAGUAGCUGGGAUUACAGGCAUGUGCCACCGCACCCAGCUAAUUUUGUAUUUUUUAGUAGAGAUGGGGUUUCUCCAUGUUGGUCAGGCUGGUCUUGAACUCCUGACCUCAGGUGAUCCGCCCACCUCA